rnacentral:rRNA from 1 species
UACAGAGGGUGCAAGCGUUGUUCGGAAUUAUUGGGCGUAAAGCGCGUGUAGGCGGCUUUGCAAGUCGGGUGUGAAAGCCCUCGCUCAACCGAGGAAGUGCGCCCGAAACUGCAGAGCUUGAGUACCGGAGAGGAUGGCGGAAUUCCCCAAGUAGAGGUGAAAUUCGUAGAUAUUCGGAAGAACACCAGUGGCGAAGGCGGCUUACUGGCCGGAACUGACGCUGAGGUGCAAAAGCGUGGGGAGCAAACAGGG